rnacentral:rRNA from 1 species
ACGCUGGCGGCGUGCCUAAUACAUGCAAGUCGAACGAGAGCGACCGGUGCUUGCACUGGUCAAUCUAGUGGCGAACGGGUGAGUAACACGUGGGUAACCUGCCCAUCAGAGGGGGAUAACAUUCGGAAACGGAUGCUAAAACCGCAUAGGUCUUCGAACCGCAUGGUUUGAAGAGGAAAAGAGGCGCAAGCUUCUGCUGAUGGAUGGACCCGCGGUGCAUUAGCUAGUUGGUGAGGUAACGGCUCACCAAGGCCGUGAUGCAUAGCCGACCUGAGAGGGUGAUCGGCCACAUUGGGACUGAGACACGGCCCAAACUCCUACGGGAGGCAGCAGUAGGGAAUCUUCCGCAAUGGACGCAAGUCUGACGGAGCAACGCCGCGUGAGUGAAGAAGGUUUUCGGAUCGUAAAACUCUGUUGUUAGAGAAGAACAAGUGCUAGAGUAACUGUUAGCGCCUUGACGGUAUCUAACCAGAAAGCCACGGCUAACUACGUGCCAGCAGCCGCGGUAAUACGUAGGUGGCAAGCGUUGUCCGGAUUUAUUGGGCGUAAAGCGAGCGCAGGCGGUUCCUUAAGUCCGAUGUGAAAGCCCCCGGCUCAACCGGGGAGGGUCAUUGGAAACUGGGGAGCUUGAGUGCAGAAGAGGAGAGUGGAAUUCCAUGUGUAGCGGUGAAAUGCGUAGAUAUAUGAAGGAACACCAGUGGCGAAGGCGACUCUCUGGUCUGUAACUGACGCUGAGGCUCGAAAGCAUGGGUAGCAAACAGGAUUAGAUACCCUGGUAGUCCACGCCGUAAACGAUGAGUGCUAAGUGUUGGAGGGUUUCCGCCCUUCAGUGCUGCAGUUAACGCAUUAAGCACUCCGCCUGGGGAGUACGACCGCAAGGUUGAAACUCAAAGGAAUUGACGGGGACCCGCACAA